AGUGGGAUAACUGGGUUAAAUGAUGGUUCCAUUCCAAGUUUAUUAAGGAAUCUCCAUACUGCUUUCCAAAGUGAUUGUACCAUUUUGCAGUCCCAUCAGCAAU
rnacentral:pre_miRNA from 1 species